UACGGGGGGGGUAAGCGUUGUUCGGAAUUACUGGGCGUAAAGCGCGCGUAGGUGGUUUGUUAAGUUGGAUGUGAAAUCCCCGGGCUCAACCUGGGAACUGCAUUCAAAACUGACAAGCUAGAGUAUGGUAGAGGGUGGUGGAAUUCCGCGUGUAGCAGUGAAAUGCGUAGAGAUGCGGAGGAACACCGAUGGCGAAGGCAGCCCCCUGGGCCAAUACUGACGCUCAGGCACGAAAGCGUGGGGAGCAAACAGG
rnacentral:rRNA from 1 species